rnacentral:ncRNA from 1 species
CUGCCGCCGGGACGCAGUGAUCCUCGCAGGGUCGCACGGUCGCCUCGGGUCGGCCUCGUGUCGGCUCGACCUGCGAGGGGAGCGAGUGGCGAGCCCGACCCGGGUGUCC